GCUGCUUUAGCUCAGUUGGUUGAACAUCAGAGCGCAAAUCUGAAGGUCGUGGUUCCAAAUCCCGGAAGAAGUC
rnacentral:tRNA from 1 species